rnacentral:sRNA from 1 species
ACUUCCGCGUCCGCCCCGCGGCGUCCGGCGGCCGCGCCGAGGGUCUGGCGGGCCGCAGAGGGAGACCAAGACAUCAUUGUUUUGAAGUUUCUGAAAGUGUUGGGAGGCAAAAAUUCAGGUGCCUGGGGGAGAAAUGGAAGGCCACAAGGCAGAAGAAGAGGUGCUAGAUGUUCUCCGACUGAACGUGGGUGGCUGUAUUUACACAGCCCGGCGGGAGUCCUUGUGCCGCUUCAAGGACUCCAUGUUGGCAUCUAUGUUCAGUGGUCGCUUUCCUCUAAAAACAGAUGAGUCAGGGGCUUGUGUUAUUGACCGUGAUGGACGUCUAUUUAAAUACCUUUUGGAUUACCUUCAUGGAGAAGUUCAGAUUCCCACAGAUGAGCAAACCCGCAUCGCCCUGCAGGAAGAGGCUGAUUACUUUGGCAUCCCUUAUCCAUACAGCCUGUCUGACCAUUUGGCCAAUGAAAUGGAGACAUAUUCUUUAAGGUCAAAUAUAGAACUUAAAAAGGCUUUAACAGACUUCUGUGAUUCAUAUGGCUUAGUCUGCAAUAAACCAACAGUUUGGGUUCUCCACUAUCUUAACACAUCUGGUGCAAGCUGUGAGAGUCGAAUUAUUGGUGUAUAUGCCACAAAAACUGAUGGAACAGACGCUAUUGAAAAGCAGCUGGGAGGAAGAAUUCACAGCAAAAGCAUUUUUAAAAGAGAGGCGGGAAAUAAUGUUCAGUACAUUUGGAGCUAUUAUUCAGUAGCAGAGUUGAAGAAAAUGAUGGAUGCCUUUGAUGCUUGGGAAGGAAAAGGUACAGUGCAAUUCUUUUAUUUCAUGGAAGCAGGUGGACUUUAAAAAAAAAAGACAAAGUAAGCUCAAAUACUGCAUUUCUUUUUUUAGAAAGUAUUCUUUUGAGUCUUACAAUGUAUUUGUCAUCUCAUGAUAAUACUGAGGCAGUUUACUUACAAAUCUUUAAAUCCCAUGAGUUGCUAGAUAUUAUUAAUAGUUUAUAAUUCAGUAACUUUAAGUAUGUUUCUGUUAGCUAGGCUUAUUUAAUUUAAUUAAAUAAGAGUUCAUUUAGUACCUACUGUGCAUUGGAAAAAUACUUCAAAUUAAGCAUAAAAUAUGUAAUCAAGGAAAGGGAGAGAAAAUAAUGUUGGAGAAGGUGUCUAAAGAGCCCUUAUAAAAUAAUUACAAUAAUCUUUAAAUGUACACUUUGAAAACUGGUCAUUUUUCUCAAACUACAGAGUGAGAGUUGGUAAUAAUAAUGCUGUUUUAUAUCCCCGAUAAGUAGUUUACAUUCAGUAUCUCUUAGUCCUAACACAAUCCUGUACGCUACUUACCAUUCCUAUUUUAUAGAUGAGGAAACUGAGUCUCAGAAGGGCUUUGACACUUUCAUAAGGAUCACAGGUUAUGUGUUCUGUUCUAUGCCUAAGCAUUUUUUUUCUUAAUUAACAACCAUGUAUUGAGUGUCUGUUAGGUGCAAAGUAUGAUAACAAGUCCUAAAAUUGGAUCCAAAGAUAAAUAAGACUUAUUCCAUCCUCAAAUAAUCCUGAAAGCUAGUAAAGACUGACUGCCAGUCACACAAUGGAUAAAAGAUCUGGGCCUGGUGUCAUGCACCUAUUGUCUCAGUUACUUGGGAGGCUGAGGCAGGAGGAUUGCCUGAGCCCAGGAGUUUGAGGGUGGAGUGAGCUGUAAUCACACCACUGCACUCCAGCCUGGGUGACAGAGCAAGACAUAAAAGGAGAGAAAGAGGCUUUUAAAAACUGCAUUGGCUGGGUGCAGUGGCUCAUGCCUGUAAUCCCAGCACCUUGAGAGGCCGAGGCAGGUGGAUCACCUGAGGUCAGGAGUUUGAGACCAGCAUGACCAACAUGGCGAAGCCCCAUCUCUACUAAAUACAAAAAAUUAGCCGGGCAUGGUGGCGCAUGCCUGUGAUCCCAGCUACUUGAGAGGCUGAGGUGGGAAAAUGGCUUGAACCCGGGAGGCAGAGGUUGCUGUAAGCUGAGAUUGUACCAUUGCACUCCAGCCUGGGCAACAAGAACGAAACUCCGUCUCAAAACAAAACAAAACAAAACACUGUAUCAGCUGUUCUUCCUUCAGGUGUCGUGCCAGCUCCAGUCCUUCUUCCUUUCCUCAACUUUGCCCCCCUCACUUUCCUUCCUUUUUCCUUUCCAGUCAUACCCCUCGAGAGGCAGGAUGACAUCUUUCAGCUUUCUAUUUUAUAUUUAAUUUACUUUGAGACACUUAUGCUCAAGUUGGAGAACAAACUCCAUGGUGUUCUCUGUGUCUCUCUUUGUGCCUCUGGACUGGCAAGAUGUCCAGGAGCCCACUGCCUUAGAAAGCUGAAGGAGGGCUGGGCACGGUGACUCACACUUGUAAUCCCAGCACUUUGGGAGGCCGAGGCAGGUGGAUCAUGAGGUCAUGAGAUUGAGACCAUCCUGGCCAGCAUGGUGAAACCCUGUCUUUACUAAAAAUACAAAAAUUAGCUGGGUGUGGUGGCACAUGCCUGUAGUCCCAGCUACUCAGGAGGCUGAGGUAGGAGAAUCGCUUGAACCCAGGAGGCAGAAGUUGCAGUGAGCCGAAUUUUUGCAAUCAGAUCUUGGCGAUGACCUUGAGCAGUAGGAUAUAAAUAACUCCCACAUGCUUAGUGUUCCAAUAAUGGAACACUAGGCAUAAAUGUUAAACACAAAACAAAAC